AUACGGAGGGUGCAAGCGUUACUCGGAAUCACUGGGCGUAAAGCGCGCGCAGGCGGUCUUUUAAGUUGGAUGUGAAAGCCUACGGCUCAACCGUAGAACUGCAUCCAAAACUAUUAGACUAGAGUGUGGGUGAGGAAGAUGGAAUUAGUUGUGUAGGGGUAAAAUCCGUAGAGAUAACUAGGAAUACCAAAAGCGAAGGCAAUCUUCUGGAACACUACUGACGCUGAGGCGCGAAAGCGUGGGGAGCAAACAGGAUUAGAAACCCUAGUAGUCC
rnacentral:rRNA from 1 species